CCGCACUCGCUCCUCCUCCAUCCCUCCCGUGACCACACGCCGCCGCCAUCUCCUUCAUCCAUCGGUCGCCGCCUUCGCCUACUCCUCCUCCACUCCCACUCCCGGCAGGGCAACACCCCGAGAACCUCCCCUUGACCCGCCUCUUCCUCCCAUCCAGCUAGAUUCGCGGAGCAAGGCCUCUCACGCUCGCUCGCCACCCUCAGCUGUGGCUAGGGGUUUGGGUUGGGCAUCGCCUUCGUCGCCGGUGGACUCCGGCGACUCCUCUCCGUCUCCUUCCUCGCCCCCACGUGCAGCUCCGCUUCCCGAUGGCCAUGGCGCGUGCUUGGCCUCCCGGCGCCAAGAACCAUCCCAGGCCUCGUUGCAUCUCCGGCUCUAGUGAGGCGUUCCUGGGCGACCAGAGGGAGCACGGGCGGCUUCAACGGGAGGAGCACCAGGCCAACCCUCAGCGGUUGGCGCCACCGGAUGGCGGCGGCCACCUUCUUCUUCCGGCCGCACCACACCACAGGUGGAGGCGUUCCUCUUGCUCUUCCUCAUGGUGGCAUGGCAGCACCACCGUCAAUGUCGAGCAUGGGUAGGAGAACGAUGCGGCCGUCCACAGAUAUUACACUGAAAGUGGCUUCCCAUGCCCACACCUGAGGAACAACUUCCCGAGGACAAUCAACAAAGAUUUUGACGAGGAAAUUGUAGAGAGUUCCAAAGCUAGGAGAAAAAUGGCAGCUGAAGCAAUUGAGAUUCUGACAGAUGCUUACCAGUCCCCCGCUUAUUCAGUGAAAACAAUGGACCGGAUAGCUAAGAUGAAAGGGGUAGUAAGUUGCUUACAAGCCCCAUUUAUUUUUUUCUCGAGAGUAAAGAUUGUAUUGUUUUGGCUGUACCAAAAUGUUUGGUUACAAAGAAGGGACUACCCAAAUGCGGACAAAUCUGUAUAUACCAACUGCAAAAUAAUUACUGGGGCAAAUUCAGUCGGUGAAGUACUCCCUCUAGCUCACGAAAAAGUGGUGUCUUUUACACGGCCUUCAAAAUGUAACUUUGGCAACUUGUUUUUGUUGUGGUAUAAUAUGUACAUAUAAUACCCAGUAAAAUUAUAACAUGUUGGAAAUAUUUUCUGAGAAACGCAUAUCAUUUUGGAUCUGAAUAUUCAAAACAUACUAGCCGUCAAAGUUUUCGAAGUUCAGCUCCUAAAGAAUCUCCAUUAUGAACUGGAGGGAACAACAUGUUAAUUCAGCAUCUGUACAACAUGUCAUUUUUCAUUUGAAUGAACCGGCAACAAACUUCUCGCCGUGGAGUAUACGGUGCUGGCCUAGCGAUGUUUACACAUUCAAAAUCAAAUUAUUGUUCUAGUAUUAUUGAGCUAUGUUCCAGGGUGGAACUCUAUUUAGGAAGAGGGCACAAGCGAGCUUCUCAACAAAGCUCUUUGUACUCAAUAGAAGGUCAUUUGUGAAUAUGCACAGGGACAUAGGAUACUACUGGAUGCGCUUGGGUGUUUACCUAGGCAUUGGCAUUUGUCUUGGCACCAUAUUCUACCAAGUUGGCCACAGUUACAGUUCCAUGCAGUCUAGAUGUGAAGUAAUAAUGUAUACGACGACACUUCUUACCUUCAUGGCCAUUGAAGGAUUCCCUUCUUUUGUAGAGGACGUAAAGGUAUUCAGACGGGAGAGGCCAAGUGGCCAUUACGGCGUGGCAGAGUUUGUGAUCUCAAACACAUUGUCAGCCACUCCAUACCUGGCCGUCAUCGCUGUGAUCCCUGGCGCAAUGCUGUACUACCUUACCGGGCUAAUGAAAGGACGUGACCGCUUCACCUACUUCAUCGUCAACCUGUGCAUGUGCACACUGCUGGUGGAGAGCAUGAUGAUGAUCAUCGCUGUCGUCGUCCCAGACUUCCUGAUGGGGAUCAUCGUCGAGGCCGGGGUGCAAGGGGUGAUGAUGCUCAAUGGAUUUUGUUUUCGUUGUUGAUCCUAAUUUAGAUAACACCAAAGGAACAAAUCAAGUGAGCUGCAACCAAAACUACCCAACAAGGUGUGGCCUUUUGCACUGCGAGUUUUAUAUUGUUAUUGCGUUCAUGUUUAUGGUCAGGUUUGUAGAAAACCUUUCUCGAUUCUUGCUUUACCAUGGAGGUUGUCUACAAGGAUUCAGAAGACGACAAUUUGCUUCCACUGCAUUUGGAAGCAGCUGCUGGGAGCAUGGAAACCAUUGUAAGAACAUAAAGUUGAAGCUUAGAAAGAUGGAAGGAGUGGGUGGGGCUGGUCGCCUUGAAUCUGCGAGAUGCCUUCGCACCGGCGUGACGCUGAUGUUGUUUGCGGAGAGGUUUAAUCGUUUCAACCGAUUCAAAUGCAAAAGGGAGGUACACUCCCUCCUGAUGUUGAUGUUAAAUAAACUAUUGAAUGUUGGACUAUAAAAUAAUGGGAUCAAAAUUAGGAGAUCUAUAAAAAUGUAGUUUCGCUCAAAGAUGGGAUCAAACUUAGAACCUUAUAUAUUAGUUCCAUGACAUGCUCAAAGGGAUGUAUGAACCAAACCAUUAAUAUUACAUGUGAUUACUCCUCCCUGUGUCUUCCUUUGAUCCUUUCAUCU